AAGCUGGGUGGAUUUAUCAGUCUUUUUCAGCGGAAAACUGUGUGGCAAAUGAUAUUGUUGAGCCUUCGACAGCCAAAGACGGGCUCUGAGCAGGGAAGAAAUCUGCGCAGCAGAACACACUGUUUGGGGAAGAAGUCAUCCUCCUAACAGAACACAGGAAAACUGUGCCAGACAUAUGAGGAAGACACUGUCUGGAAGCAUGCUAUCACACAAGGGAAUCUGCAACUAGAGACGGCCAGCUAUUCAAAAGGCAGUGUUUUUCACAGGUCGUGCCUACGUGAGUUUAUCCUCCAUCAGAUGUGUCAAUCUCUGUGGCUGUUGCGGGAUGUUUGAGUUGACUUGGAAGCCAGCUGGGUUGCAGACAGUUAGCAGCGGCUAUGAGACACAGAAAUGGACUGAGGAAUCCCAUAAAAGCUUUCAAUGCUGAUCUGGCUAUUCCGCGACUGGGAGCAUUGACAUGUCAAAGCACUGAGGCCUCAGAGUGAGCGCCAGGCUGUUCCACAGUUGCUGUGUGAGGCCAGAAGGCUCGCAUCUGUAGACCCCAUUCUA